AAGUAGAAAAGAGCGUAUGGGGGAUGCCUAGGCUCUCAGAGGCGAUGAAGGACGUGAUAAGCUGCGAUAAGCUGCGGGGAUUGGCACAUACGAUGUGAUCCGCAGAUUUCCGAAUGGGACAACCCACUAUGUUGAAGACAUAGUAUCCAGCAAUGGAGGCGAACGUAGGGAACUGAAACAUCUAAGUACCUAUAGGAAGAGAAAACAAUUAGUGAUUCCGUUAGUAGUGGCGAGCGAACGCGGAACAGCCCAAACCAGAGUAGUUACGGCUACUUUGGGGUUGUAGGACUGCGAUAUCUUAACAAAAAUGAAUUGGAAGCAUCUGGGAAGUUGCGCCAUAGAGGGUGAAAGCCCCGUACAGGUAAGUUUUUGAGCGGUAGCAGUAUCCUGAGUAGGGCGGGGCAGGUGAAACCCCGUUUGAAUCUGCCGGCACCAUCCGGCAAGGCUAAAUACUCCUGAGAGACCGAUAGUGAACCAGUACCGUGAGGGAAAGGUGAAAAGUACCCUGAAUAAGGGGGUGAAAUAGUACCUGAAACCAUACGCUUACAAGCGAUCGGAGCCCAAUAAUUGGGUGACGGUGUGCCUUUUGCAUAAUGAGCCUACGAGUUACUCCUCUCUAGCGAGGUUAAGGGUUUAAGGCCUGUAGCCGGAGCGAAAGCGAGUCUGAAUAGGGCGCUUAGUUAGAGGGGGUAGACGCGAAACCCUGUGAUCUACCCAUGACCAGGUUGAAGUGACGGUAACACGUCAUGGAGGACCGAACCAGUUGACGUUGAAAAGUCUUUGGAUGAGUUGUGGGUAGGGGUGAAAGGCCAAUCAAACUCGGAGAUAGCUGGUUCUCUGCGAAAUCUAUUUAGGUAGAGCGUCAUCCGAAUACCCCGGGGGGUAGAGCACUGGAUGGGUAAUGGGGCCCCACAGGCUUACUGAUCCUAACCAAACUCCGAAUACCCGGGAGUACUAGAUGGCAGACACACU
rnacentral:rRNA from 1 species